GUUAAGUUGGCAGAAGAAAAUGUGAUUGACUUAGGCUCAAUAGAUGAAAGUAAAUUUCACUUAACU
rnacentral:tRNA from 1 species